GACGUAGGGGCGAGCGUUGUCCGGAUUUACUGGGCGUAAAGGGCGCGUAGGCGGCCUGCUAAGUCGAACGUGAAAUCCCCGGGCUCAACCCGGGAACUGCGUCCGAGACUGAAAGGCUUGAAUCCGGGAGAGGGAUGUGGAAUUCCAGGUGUAGCGGUGAAAUGCGUAGAUAUCUGGAGGAACACCGGUGGCGAAGGCGGCAUCCUGGACCGGCAUUGACGCUGAGGCGCGAAAGCUAGGGGAGCAACGGG
rnacentral:rRNA from 1 species